AGGAGUUCACAGGACUUCUGUUUCAGACUCCACUAAAGCCUCCCCCAGUUGUUUAUGUUUUAAGUACUUCAAAGCUUCGAGCACUCCUAGGGUUUCCAGCUGAAGAACCAUUUCUGCCCGGACGAGCUUCGUGAAUCCAUCAACGAGGCUACUGGAGGAGUCCUGGAUGACGCAAGACACUACUCCUUCCAUCGAUCCCUUACACAAUGACCCAUCAACAUUAAGCUUAAAGGAACCGGCUUUCGGAGCUUGCUAGGCAUCCGGUUUAGUACCUCGAAAAAUAAAGUUGUUGCUCUCUUUCCAUACUUGCCAAAAAAGGUUUCCGAUCGUUUCCAAAGACGGGAGGUUGAUUUCUGAGUGGUUCCAUACCAUUGCAGUCCAAGGACAGAGGAGAUGAGUGUGUUUGACCAUUUCCACCUUAUCUCGGCAAAGAUCACAGACCGGAUCAGUGUAGGACAUUGAUCCGGUACUGGUUGGCAGUUUCGAGGCUUUACCAAAGUGUAUAACUCCUUAAAAAAGAAAUGUUUUAGCACUACUCACCAAUAGGAAAGGACUAUGAUCACACCCAACAGCUGGUAGAGCAAAGGCUUCUACUUCCAGGAACAUGAGUCUCCAAUCCAGAGAGCAAAACACUCUAUCUAGUUUCUCCUUGACCAGAUCAGCCUCUUCUCUGUUAUUGGACUAGGAUGAUGGUUUGGCAACCGGCAAAAGCUAUUGUUCUGGCUCUUCAAUGUUCAUAAUGCCUUUUCCCUUAUCCUGGUGAUGUUCCACUUGAUGAUAAGAAUCAAAUGUAAAAGACAGGAUAUGCGAUUCAUGAUGUGCAAAGCUAACUGAAUCUACCUUCCAAGCUCACUUCAUUGUGGUAAGAAAUGCCUGAUAGUUGAUAUUUCCUCCCGAAUACAGCUUACCAAAUACUUUACAUUUACAUUCAUCUAACAUUGCCUCCGAAAUCACUCUAUCCCAUGGAGGGGCAUCCACCUUUGUUUGCAGAUUCCCUAACCUCUUGCACAAUAAAGCCAAAUGACACUUUAUUGCCUUAGGUUUGUCCAUUUGCCUCACCAAUGAAUAGCUGUUACUAGAUAAGAACAGAACAUGGAGCAGAGCCAGAACUCAACAACAACAUGCUGCUAUCAAUCGAAGAAGUCCAUCCAGUCAUAGAGAAAAGAUGAAAAUUCCCUUUCGAUUGGCUGCGAACCGAUAACCCAGAAGAAAUCCCGCAGGGAAUAGGCAACAUUCAAAACUUUAGGAGGCCAAAUCUUCAUAACCAGCACUACUCGAUGCCAUCGAUGGAGACAAAACCCUAUCCCUUCCACAUCAGUGAAGAAUCGAGGAGAAGGUGAUGUAGUGGGUGACGGAAAUCUACAGGAAGGGUUCCAAUCCACUAAAAAUUUGUAAUGAGACUAUUAGGGUUUUGGGAUUCGGACAUACACAGGAAGAGCUAGGGUUUGGGGGACAGCUACCAAAAGGAGGUAGAGGGAAGCUCUCAAGAUCGAGAGAGAUGGCUGAGUCGCUAGCGCAAGGAUAGAGACAGGCAAUAGCUUCAGAUAGUCUGGGUAUGAACUGUUUGCAAAGCUGAUGUCUGAAAUGACGUGCACGAUAUGUACUUGAGGUUUUUUCGCAAGUUCACCCUCUUAUAUUUUUGACC